rnacentral:misc_RNA from 1 species
CCUUGAUAUAUGGCAAGGUCAUCAAGAGCGCUCAAAGCAACACCGCCUGUGACGGUAAUCAACAAAAAAGAAACAGCCUUACGACCAAAAGACCUGCUCUUUUCUUCAUCCACAGGCUUGGCGGUACUGGAAAGCUGUGACGCUGAAGAACUCCUGAAGAAGGAAAUGAACCUCCUGCCCAGCAUGAUUGGGGAACUUUCUCUUUCCCAAGUUCACCAGUACCGUUUGGU